rnacentral:rRNA from 1 species
CUCCUACGGGAGGCAGCAGUGGGGAAUAUUGCACAAUGGGCGAAAGCCUGAUGCAGCAACGCCGCGUGAGCGAUGAAGGCCUUCGGGUCGUAAAGCUCUGUCCUCAAGGAAGAUAAUGACGGUACUUGGGGAGGAAGCCCCGGCUAACUACGUGCCAGCAGCCGCGGUAAUACGUAGGGGGCUAGCGUUAUCCGGAAUUACUGGGCGUAAAGGGUGCGUAGGUGGUUUCUUAAGUCAGAGGUGAAAGGCUACGGCUCAACCGUAGUAAGCCUUUGAAACUGGGAAACUUGAGUGCAGGAGAGGAGAGUGGAAUUCCUAGUGUAGCGGUGAAAUGCGUAGAUAUUAGGAGGAACACCAGUUGCGAAGGCGGCUCUCUGGACUGUAACUGACACUGAGGCACGAAAGCGUGGGGAGCAAACAGGAUUAGAUACCCUGGUAGUCCACGCCGUAAACGAUGAGUACUAGCUGUCGGAGGUUACCCCCUUCGGUGGCGCAGCUAACGCAUUAAGUACUCCGCCUGGGAAGUACGCUCGCAAGAGUGCAACUCAAAGGAAUUGACGGA